rnacentral:rRNA from 1 species
UACGAAGGGGGCUAGCGUUGCUCGGAAUUACUGGGCGUAAAGCGCACGUAGGCGGAUUGUUAAGUCGGGGGUGAAAUCCUGGAGCUCAACUCCAGAACUGCCUUCGAUACUGGCGAUCUCGAGUUCGGGAGAGGUGAGUGGAACUGCGAGUGUAGAGGUGAAAUUCGUAGAUAUUCGCAAGAACACCCAGUGGCGAAGGGCGGCUCACUGGCCCCGAUACU